rnacentral:rRNA from 1 species
CAGUAGCGGCGAGCGAACGGGGAGCAGCCCAGAGCCUGAAUCAGUGUGUGUGUUAGUGGAAGCGUCUGGAAAGGCGUGCGAUACAGGGUGACAGCCCCGUACACAAAAAUGCACAUACUGUGAGCUCGAUGAGUAGGGCGGGACACGUGGUAUCCUGUCUGAAUAUGGGGGGACCAUCCUCCAAGGCUAAAUACUCCUGACUGACCGAUAGUGAACCAGUACCGUGAGGGAAAGGCGAAAAGAACCCCGGCGAGGGGAGUGAAAAAGAACCUGAAACCGUGUACGUACAAGCAGUGGGAGCACGCUUAGGCGUGUGACUGCGUACCUUUUGUAUAAUGGGUCAGCGACUUAUAUUCUGUAGCAAGGUUAACCGAAUAGGGGAGCCGAAGGGAAACCGAGUCUUAACUGGGCGUUAAGUUGCAGGGUAUAGACCCGAAACCCGGUGAUCUA